GGUUUACCUUUUGUUGUUGCAAAAAAGAAACUAACUUUGCAGGGGGAAGCAAAUUUGAAACAUCUGUACCUAUGUUAACUCCCACAUAAGCAGGGAAGAUGAUGAAGAAGACAAAGGAGAGAGCAGUGAGUCUAAAAGCAGCCAUUAAAGGGAAGCUUGAGCUCUGCAAGUCUCAUGUUCUUCUAAGAGUGGCAGUUGAACAACAAGAAGAAGUUGCAUACCAUCAAGUUCAAAGUUGUUGGGUAGGAAAUCUUUGAGAGGAGAUUUGUAGGUAGUUUUGACUAGUGAGAUCUAGAACUUUUGAAAGCACAUUCUGGAUAUAAUGACUAUUAUACCCUUCUCGAUAGCAUUGGGGUGCCCCACUCUUUGUUCGAGCUUUGGUCCUUUGCAACUUUGUUCUUUAAAAGGGAAAGAUGCAAAAGUGUCAACGCAUUUGUGUAAAGAUAAUGGACCCUUUAUAACUAGCCUAGGUAAAAUUAGAACGUUGUUUCAUUUUUACUUAAUAAAUUUAAUAGUUAAGAAUUUAAUUAUUUAGUUAAA